AAAUUGAAGAGUUUGAUCAUGGCUCAGAUUGAACGCUGGCGGCAGGCCUAACACAUGCAAGUCGAACGGUAACAGAAAGCAGCUUGCUGCUUUGCUGACGAGUGGCGGACGGGUGAGUAAUGUCUGGGAAACUGCCUGAUGGAGGGGGAUAACUACUGGAAACGGUAGCUAAUACCGCAUAAUGUCGCAAGACCAAAGAGGGGGACCUUCGGGCCUCUUGCCAUCGGAUGUGCCCAGAUGGGAUUAGCUUGUUGGUGG
rnacentral:rRNA from 1 species